rnacentral:rRNA from 1 species
AUUGAACGCUGGCGGCAGGCCUAACACAUGCAAGUCGAGCGGAUGAAGGGAGCUUGCUCCUGGAUUCAGCGGCGGACGGGUGAGUAAUGCCUAGGAAUCUGCCUGGUAGUGGGGGAUAACGUCCGGAAACGGGCGCUAAUACCGCAUACGUCCUGAGGGAGAAAGUGGGGGAUCUUCGGACCUCACGCUAUCAGAUGAGCCUAGGUCGGAUUAGCUAGUUGGUGGGGUAAAGGCCUACCAAGGCGACGAUCCGUAACUGGUCUGAGAGGAUGAUCAGUCACACUGGAACUGAGACACGGUCCAGACUCCUACGGGAGGCAGCAGUGGGGAAUAUUGAACAAUGGGCGAAAGCCUGAUCCAGCAAUGCCGCGUGUGUGAAGAAGGUCUUCGGAUUGUAAAGCACUUUAAGUUGGGAGGAAGAGCAGUAAGUUAAUACCUUGCUGUUUUGACGUUACCAAAAGAAUAAGCAACGGCUAACUUCGUG